GAUGAACGCUGGCGGCGUGCCUAAUACAUGCAAGUCGAGCGAACAGAUGAGGAGCUUGCUCCUCUGACGUUAGCGGCGGACGGGUGAGUAACACGUGGAUAACCUACCUAUAAGACUGGGAUAACUUCGGGAAACCGGAGCUAAUACCGGAUAAUAUAUUGAACCGCAUGGUUCAAUAGUGGAAGACGGUUUUGCUGUCACUUAUAGAUGGAUCCGCGCCGCAUUAGCUAGUUGGUAAGGUAACGGCUUUCCAAGGCAACGAUGCGUAGCCGACCUGAGAGGGUGAUCGGCCACACUGGAACUGAGACACGGUCCAGACUCCUACGGGAGGCAGCAGUAGGGAAUCUUCCGCAAUGGGCGAAAGCCUGACGGAGCAACGCCGCGUGAGUGAUGAAGGUCUUCGGAUCGUAAAACUCUGUUAUUAGGGAAGAACAAAUGUGUAAGUAACUAUGCACGUCUUGACGGUACCUAAUCAGAAAGCCACGGCUAACUACGUG
rnacentral:rRNA from 1 species